UUUCCGUAGGUGAACCUGCGGAAGGAUCAUUAUUGAAAACUACUAUCAGUUUUUCAUAGCCCCUUUGCUUAAACUACCACGUUGCUUCCACCGGACAGGCAAGCUCUCUUGAGAAGUAAGCCCUCCAGGCUGUGCCUUCAGCACUUCCUGGGGAGCCGCCGGUGGAUAGACCUACUCUGAAAAGCUUUUACAAAACCACAUUUGUCUGACAUGCAGCUAAAUUAAAUAAAACUUUCAACAACGGAUCUCUAGGCUCUU
rnacentral:misc_RNA from 1 species